AACAUACUCCCUCCGUCCGGAAAUACUUGUCAUGAAACUAGAUAAAAGGGGAUGUAUCUAGAUGUAUUUUAGUUCUAGAUACAUCUCUUUUUAUCCAUUUUGAUGACAAGUAUUUUCGGAUGGAGGGAGUACGUG
rnacentral:pre_miRNA from 1 species